CGGUCAAGGGAAGGAGAGGACAGUGGCGGACGGGUGAGUAACGCGUGAGCAACCUGCCCUUCAGAGGGGGACAACAGCUGGAAACGGCUGCUAAUACCGCAUAACAUAUCUGUAAGGCAUCGUUAUAGAUAUCAAAGAUUUAUCGCUGAAGGAUGGGCUCGCGUCUGAUUAGCUUGUUGGUGGGGUAACGGCCUACCAAGGCGACGAUCAGUAGCCGGACUGAGAGGUUGAACGGCCACAUUGGGACUGAGAUACGGCCCAGACUCCUACGGGAGGCAGCAGUGGGGAAUAUUGGGCAAUGGGGGCAACCCUGACCCAGCAACGCCGCGUGAAGGAAGAAGGCUUUCGGGUUGUAAACUUCUUUGACGAGGGACGAAUGAUGACGGUACCUCGAAAACAAGCCACGGCUAACUACGUGCCAGCAGCAGC
rnacentral:rRNA from 1 species